CCUACGGGAGGCUGCAGUGGGGAAUAUUGGACAAUGGGGGCAACCCUGAUCCAGCCAUGCCGCGUGUGUGAAGAAGGCCCUCGGGUUGUAAAGCACUUUCAGUGAGGAAGAACGCCUGGUGGUUAAUACCCAUCAGGAAAGACAUCACUCACAGAAGAAGCACCGGCUAACUCCGUGCCAGCAGCCGCGGUAAUACGGAGGGUGCGAGCGUUAAUCGGAAUUACUGGGCUUAAAGCGCGCGUAGGUGGCUUGAUAAGCCGGUUGUGAAAGCCCCGGGCUCAACCUGGGAACGGCAUCCGGAACUGUCAAGCUAGAGUGCAGGAGAGGAAGGUAGAAUUCCCGGUGUAGCGGUGAAAUGCGUAGAGAUCGGGAGGAAUACCAGUGGCGAAGGCGGCCUUCUGGACUGACACUGACACUGAGGUGCGAAAGCGUGGGUAGCAAACAGGAUUAGAUACCCUGGUAGUC
rnacentral:rRNA from 1 species